rnacentral:rRNA from 1 species
AGGAUGAACGCUGGCGGCGUGCCUAACACAUGCAAGUCGAACGUCCUGUCUCGCAAGAGGCAGGGAGUGGCGGACGGGUGAGUACCACGUGGGUCAUCUACCGUGAGGUGAGGAAUACCGGCGAGAAAUCGCCGACAAGACCGCAUAGGCUCGAUGCAAGUCGAGCAAAGCUCUUUCGAGAGAGGGAGCGCCACACGAGGAGCCUGCGCCCGAUUAGCUAGCUGGUGGAGUAACGGUUCACCAGGGCGACGAUCGGUAGCUGGUCUGAGAGGACGAUCAGCCACACUGGGAUUGAGAACGGCCCAGACUCCUACGGGGGCAGCAGUGAGGAAUUUUCGUCAAUGGGGGCAACCCUGAACGAGCAACGCCGCGUGCAGGAAGAAGGUUUUCGGAUCGUAAACUGCUUUUCUCGGGGAAGAGAACGGACGGUACCCGAGGAAUAAGCACCGGCUAACUCCGUGCCAGCAGCCGCGGU